rnacentral:rRNA from 1 species
GUGGGGAAUAUUGGACAAUGGGCGCAAGCCUGAUCCAGCCAUGCCGCGUGAGUGAUGAAGGCCUUAGGGUUGUAAAGCUCUUUCACCGAUGAAGAUAAUGACGGUAGUCGGAGAAGAAGCCCCGGCUAACUUCGUGCCAGCAGCCGCGGUAAUACGAAGGGGGCUAGCGUUGUUCGGAAUUACUGGGCGUAAAGCGCACGUAGGCGGAUAUUUAAGUCAGGGGUGAAAUCCCGCAGCUCAACUGCGGAACUGCCUUUGAUACUGGGUAUCUUGAGUAUGGAAGAGGUAAGUGGAAUUCCGAGUGUAGAGGUGAAAUUCGUAGAUAUUCGGAGGAACACCAGUGGCGAAGGCGGCUUACUGGUCCAUUACUGACGCUGAGGUGCGAAAGCGUGGGGAGCAAACAGGAUUAGAUACCCGAGUAGUCC